UCUGAUUUAGCAUAUAUAUUUAAUGCAUUGGAUUGUAAAUUUUUUUUAUAUUUACAAGCUUA
rnacentral:tRNA from 1 species